GAUGAACGCUGGCGGCGUGCCUAAUACAUGCAAGUCGAGCGAACAGACGAGGAGCUUGCUCCUCUGACGUUAGCGGCGGACGGGUGAGUAACACGUGGAUAACCUACCUAUAAGACUGGGAUAACUUCGGGAAACCGGAGCUAAUACCGGAUAAUAUAUUGAACCGCAUGGUUCAAUAGUGAAAGACGGUUUUGCUGUAACUUAUAGAUGGAUCCGCGCCGCAUUAGCUAGUUGGUAAGGUAACGGCGUACCAAGGCGACACUACGUAGCCGACCUGAGAGAGUGAAAGCCCACACUUGGAGUGAAACACGAUCCUGAACCCCACGGGAGGCAGCGGUAGGAGACCGUACGCAAUGAGAGAAAACUUGACGCAGCAACGCAAAGUAAGUGAUGAAGGUAUUCGGAUCGUAAAAAUCUGUUAUUGGGGAAAAACAAAUGUGGAAGUUAAUAUGCACGUCUUGACGGUACCUAAGCAGAAAGCCACGGCUAACUACGUG
rnacentral:rRNA from 1 species